UCUUUGGAGGAGGAGAAGGAGGUUUGGGUCCCCAGUUCCAUGGAGGCUGGGCAUGGGGCCCUGGAAGGCUGCAGGUCUGCCUGUGCUUUCUCCUGUGCUCCCUAGCCCUCCUUAACCUCCAACCCGCCUCCCUGACCAUUGCCCAAGGGUGCUGCAUGUGCUUGAUCAUGGUUGUGUGAGGGAGGAAGAAAGAAGUCGGCCUGAGUGAUGGAUACAUUUCGAAAACGUGAGCAGUGUACCAGCUGCGGACCUCUCCCCUCCAGGAAGGGCUAAGUUGAUGAUGUCAUUGAAUCAGGACCCCUUCCUUUGGCCUCUUCAGCUCAACAAGCUAAACUUGAAGCUCUGACACCAUCUUGUGAAUUACCAAAAGGAAAAUGAGUGGACAUUGACACGGAUUGCAGGUAUGUUUUGGGGGUGGCACAUGAUUUCAGGAUGUUAUGGAAAUAUCAGGGGUUCCUGACUUCCUCUGGCAUGCCCAUUGAAAAUCCCUCUUGCUGCCAGCAGCAGUGGCUGUUAUUUAAGUUCCAGGACACUCCUAUGAAGACUCCCCCCAUGGCUGGAGUAAUGCCCUUGCUGAGCUGCAUGCCAAGUAAACUUCUCAGAAGCCUGAAUCCCUAUAGGUCUGUCUUCCUUUACAUCUGCUUGGCCUGCUCUCAAAUUAACAUUAACCCUAGCAGAGCCUACUGCUGUCUAAGAGGCCAUGUCUUGUUUGAUCCAAGACAGGCUAAGAAGAGAGUUGCAAAAAGGAGAAAAACAAUGGACUCUGGCAUGGGCCAAAUGGAUGCCCAGUCCUUCCUGACUCUCUCUGUGUCUUCUUGUGAUGGAAUACCUGUACCCUUUAAAUCACUGGAGCCCUGACAGGAUGCUUAGUGUGGGAUGCAAAUAUUAGUGGGGAAAAAUGAGACCAGCUGAAUUUGACGAUUAUCUACAAUGUGAAAUCUGUCCCAAAUAUCAUAUUAACAAGCCCCUAAGACCUGUCAGGGAAAUUGCCUCCCCUUGAGGCCCCCUUUCGAGUCUGACAGAAUGAUUCUAUUUAGUUCUUCACCUCCUCUAGUUAUGUUUGUAUUAGUCAUGGUCUGCAUGUUUUCCCUGGUGGGUGGAGGCUUUUCCUUUCAAACAAGCCACUGCAACAGACUUAGCCAAGCACCCCCAAUCCUCUAGUCUGGUAGAAUUUAUCAAUGGAAUUAAGAUUCAUCUUGCAAAUGUAUGGAUGAUUGGGGUCUGCCAUGGCCAAAAGUCCUAGGUCUUCUGAAAGGUAGGGUGACCCCUUUGGGGAAAUAUUCUUUUACCCUUUGAAAUCAUCCCUGGGCAUUUUAUGACCCUCCUUUUCCUCUCAGUGACUCCCUCACCACCAAGGUUUCCCUUCUGUCCUACUGCUGGGAUUCACUCAGAACUUUUUGAGACAUUAACUUUCAUGUUUCUCAGUCAUUUUCUAGGGACUCAAUCCUGAAUCAGUCUACCUUGCAGUCAGAACCCAAAGAAAAGGCCCUACCAAGUCCUGCUGACCAACCCCUCUGCUGCAACACUGAAGGGAAUUGACAGCUGGGUGCACCUAUGACAUCUGAAGAAGGCUCCAAUCCCCCAGUGGACAGCCCAGCCCACUAACAGUGACCCCAAACUCCAUCUAACCUGGAAAAAGAAGCAGACAACAACAGGGGUAGACCCCUUUCCUAAAACAUUGGACAUGGCCUGAGAAUCCUGUGUUCCUUGUUCCAGCUUACAUUAAUUUAGAACUUUUGCAACCUAUGUCCCUGUACCAGGUACUGAAUGUACCCUACUUGUUAGUCUUUCUGUAUUUUCUAUUCCAAUUAGCUAAUUAUUUUUCAAAAUUGGUAAAUAUGUAAAAAAUCAAUCCCCUUUAUAAAUCAAAUCAACUUUAGCAGGAUAACUCUUGUUCCCAUGAAACAUUGGACCCUUGUCACAUCUUUUCAGUCAUCAGCAGAAUUCCAGACUUCCUCUUGGCCAAGAGGAUAAAAUGACAGCCACAGCUGACUGAGAACUGAUUGAUCCUGCCCUGGUCUCUAUUCCCAAGCCAGUGAAUUGCCCAGGGCUGACCCAGUAUUACCAUUCUGGCUUCUCAUUAUUUUGUAAACCUCAAACUCCCCUCUCCCAAAGGUAAUCUCUUCACUCUCUCUGUCACAAUAUCCUAUAUAAACUCUGUUCCCAAUCCCACUCUUUGGGUACUCUUGGCACUUGCUGUGGGGUACCAUCAGGAGUAACUCUUUUGCCCUGAUUAAAGACCUUAAUUUUGUCA